rnacentral:rRNA from 1 species
GAUGAACGCUGGCGGCGUGCCUAACGCAUGCAAGUCGAGCGAAGCGCUUAAAUUAGAUUUCUUCGGAAUGACGAUUUUUGUGACUGAGCGGCGGACGGGUGAGUAACGCGUGGGUAACCUGCCUCAUACAGGGGGAUAACAGUUAGAAAUGACUGCUAAUACCGCAUAAGACCCCAGCUUCGCAUGAAGCGGUGGUAAAAACUCCGGUGGUAUGAGAUGGACCCGCGUCUGAUUAGCUAGUUGGUAAGGUAACGGCUUACCAAGGCGACGAUCAGUAGCCGACCUGAGAGGGUGACCGGCCACAGUGGGACUGAGACACGGCCCAGACUCCUACGGGAGGCAGCAGUGGGGAAUAUUGCACAAUGGGGGAAACCCUGAUGCAGCGACGCCGCGUGAAGGAUGAAGUAUUUCGGUAUGUAAACUUCUAUCAGCAGGGAAGAAAGUGACGGUACCUGACUAAGAAGCCCCGGCUAACUACGUG